rnacentral:lncRNA from 1 species
AAAUCCUCAAUGCGUGCACGGGAUCGAACCUGUUCCAUCACCGAAUCUCAUGGCUCUCAGUGAGGAAGAUUGGAAGAAAUGGAUUGAGCUUACCGGAAGGGAUUUAAACUUCACGAUUCCACCUGAAGCUAGUGAUUUUAGUUCAUGGAGAAACCUCCCGAACACUGAUUUUGAGCUCGAGAGACCUCCAAUAAUGAAGAGCGUACUCAAUUUAUCUACUCAAUCUUCGAGCCAUAUGUACAGUGAUGGCACUGACUUAUCACUUGUGAGCAACAAAAGGAGGAAAGACGAUGAUUGCUAUUUGCCAGUCAUUCCUCCAUCCGACCGAAUCCCAGACAUGGAAAUUCAUCCUAGUGAACCACACUGGUUAAAUGACUUCAGCGGGGUAAUGAAAAACGCUUACGGUCCCGUUACCGCUGCGAAAGCCAUCUAUGAGGAUGAAGCCAGUUACUUGAUCAUUAUCAGCUUGCCUUUUGUUGAUCUUCAAAGGGUAAAGGUCUCAUGGAGGAACACACUCACUCAUGGUAUUAUAAAACUAUCUUGUGUGAGCACAACAUGUAUGCCGUUCAUCAAACGACACAACCGGACAUUCAAGCUUACAGAUCCCGCUCCCGAGCAUUGCCCUCCCGGCGAAUUCGUUAGAGAAAUCCCAUUGUCAACUCGAAUCCCCGAAGACGCCGACAUAGAAGCAUAUCACGAUGGGCCAGGUUCUGUUCUCGAGAUUAUGGUUCCGAAACUACGGAUGGUACCUGAAGAACAUGAAAUCCGGGUUUGUCUUCGUCCUAAACAUGUAGGGAAUGAUCUCAUGUUGACAUGAACUAUAAAAGGGUAGUUGCUAUGGUUGGUUCUGCAUUGUUUUUACUGACUUUUGUACCAUACAAUGUAAUCUAUGAAAACAAAAAUAUGGGUCUUCCGUUUUUUACUUUUUACCAUUUUUGUCCCACUAAUUAAUAUGUUUUGUUUAGUGGUCCUUUUUUGACUGUAAUUAGAUUUUGAUUUUUCGGACAUUUGAUUAUAUUAAACUUGUGUUUUGUAGUUUCAGACAUUUAUUGAAUUUUAAUGAAGAGGUAGAAGUUGUUGAAUUACUUGGUUAAUCCUUGUAUUAUAGAUCAAAGAACAAAUUCGUCUUUUUAGUACAAAAUAUCGAACAACAAAUUUAUCCCUCUAUUAUAAAAUAGAUAAUUUACUCCUUGUAUAAAUCUUUGAACUUGUUAACUUUUCUCAACUUAACCUGUAAAAUAUUUUUUUGUCGCACUAUUUAAUUAGGACAAAAGAAAAAAGUGAAGCAUUAAAUUCAACAUUGAAGCUAAAUUUUAAGUAUUUAAUUUUGAUUAAAAUAAAAUUUAAGUAUAUAACUAAAAAAAUUUAAGUACCAAAAUGAUAUCAUUAGACACAUUAUUUGAAUAAAAAAAUGCACGUAUUUAAUUAGGACAAAAGAAAAAACAUAAAGCACUAAAUUGAAUAUUAAAGCUAAAUUUUAGAUAUUUAAUUUUGACUAAAAAAAUUUUUAAGUAUCAAAUAAAAAAAAAACUUAAAUACUAAAGUGAAUAUUAAAGCAAAACUUAAAUAUCAAAUUGAACAUUGAAACUAAGCUCAAGUUCCAAAUAGUAUAUUAACCAACUAAAAACUAAGAACACACAAUAUCGCUAUAAAAUAAUCAUGGGUAAAUUACACUUAAGAUCACUAAAUUAUUAAUAAAUUUAUGUUUUAGUCACUCAAAUUUUAAAAAGUUACAAAUUAGUCAUCAAACUAUUCAAAAGUUUUCAAUUAAGUCACUGAGCUGUUAAUUUUUUUUAAAUAUAGAACGAUUAGACGAUACAGUGGAGUAGUACCCAUUAACGAGAAGAAGAACAUACUUAGAUCUAAGUUGAUUUGACGGUUGAUGUUGAAGACCAAAGAAAGAGUUAUUUGAAUUUUAAUUCCCAAAUUUGUGACAUUCAAAGCUCUUUUAUAAAAAAAAAGGAAAAAAAUUAUAGAAGAGAUGAGUAAGAGAGAGCUUUUGAUUGGUGUAGGCAAUUCGAAUAGAGAAGGUUAUACAAUAACAGCUUUAACAGUCUAAUAACUUAAAUAAAAACUUUCGAAUAGUAACUUUUCGAAAUUGAAUAAAUUUAAUGACUUUAGAUGUAAUUUACCCGAUAAACGAAACGGUGGAGCAUUGAGAAAAGUGGCGCGAAGGAAAAGUGCACCGUUACCGUUAAGUAACGGCGAUAAUUAAUAUGGGUGAUAUCCAGUGUAGGCUUUUACUAACGAUAUAAACCUCUGUAUAAUGAGACGGUGGCUUACCUUUCAAUUAUCUCUCUUCUCAUUAUCUCUUUCACUUUUUUUUUAUUAUUAUUUUCAUUUUCCUCUGUUUUUUCUUUUCUAUUUUCUUCUCUGUUUUCUCUUUAUUGGCCACAAAACAAAGCAAGUAAAUGGAAGGAACGAAAGGGGGGGGGGGGGGGAAAGCAUAUAAACGUAUAAUAAUAUAAAAAAGAAAAUAAAAGUUAAAAAAAUAGCUGAAGAGAUAAAGGAAAGGGAAAAAAAUGGUGGGUAAGGUUGGGGAUGAUGAUGAUUUAGUGGAGCUGAGCAUUAUAAUCGUUCAUGAAGGUCCUUCUUCAUCUCGAUUCCUCGAUGCUUAUCCCAUAAGGUAACCUUUAAAGAUCCCUUCAUUUCUCUUCUAGAAAAUUUGAAAUUUCUCUCUCUUUUUUUAAUUUUGCUUUGUCAAAGUUGGGUCUUCUUUUUUUUUUUUUAAUUCUUAAGAUGUAAUUUUUUUUAUGUAAAGCAAAAAUAAGAAUUGGGUUUUUUGUUUUUUUAUGGAAUUUAUGCUUUUGAUUCAGUUUCUGUAGAUUUUAGGGUUCUUUCUUUAGCAGCUUUUUAGGGAAAUUUAUUGUGUUAGAAUUUAGGGUAAAAUUAUUUAUGUUUUACAAUUUGUUUGUUAUAUUGUUAAUAAGUUGGGUUUUAUUGAAUUUGAUUUAAAAAAAAAUAAGUUGUUGAUUUCUGUGGGUUUUUCUGGGGAUUGUUGUUUUAUGUUUUCUUUUAUAAAAUUCUAGGGUUUUGAUUGAGGGAAAAAUCAUGUGGUGAUUGAUAAUUUAUUGAAUUUUUUGGGGGGUUUUUUGGGGUAAAUGGAAAAAUUCAAUCCACAAGCAGCAAUUAUUACAAUCUCCAAUUGCAUAAGCUGAAAUGGGAGCUUCUCUCCUUACAACUUUCUCAAUGGAGAAUCAUCAUCCUUCAACUCUUUUAUCUAUGGACUCGAGCGCACACGACGAGUUUGAUUUAGACAAGAAUCGGCAAUCGAUUCUGUCCCUGCCACCGGAUAUCAAUUUGCCACUAUCUGCUGAGCGUAGCCCUCCACCACAGCAGCCAUGGAACUCCGAUCAGUGCGAUAUUCUAGAUGUUGGGCUGUGUUCACAAGCUUAUGAAACCGAGAGCUACCUUCCAGUCUCGAAAGCCGGACGGAAAUGCACUAAGCGGGUAGAUAGCAUAUGGGGUGCUUGGUUGUUCUUUAGCUUUUACUUCAAACCUGCUUUGAAUGAGAAAUCCAAGGCUAAGAUCGUUCGGGAUAGCAAUGGUGUUUCUGGUUUCGAUAAAUCGGAUCUUAAGUUGGAUGUUUUCAUGGUUCAACACGACAUGGAGAAUAUGUAUAUGUGGGUUUUCAAGGAGAAACCCGAGAAUGCAUUGGGUAAAAUGCAGCUUCGAAGCUACAUGAAUGGGCAUUCUCGCCAAGGGGAACGUCCUUUUCCUUUUAGUGUGGAUAAGGGAUUUAUCCGCUCCCAUAGGAUGCAACGGAAGCAUUAUAGAGGAUUGUCGAAUCCUCAGUGUGUGCACGGGAUCGAACUUGUUCCAUCACCGAAUCUCAUUGCUCUCAGUGAAGAAGAUCGGAAGAAAUGGAUUGAGCUUACCGGAAGGGAUUUAAACUUCACGAUUCCACUCGAGGCUAGUGAUUUUAGUUCAUGGAGAAACCUCCCGAACACUGAUUUUGAGCUCGAGAGACCUCAGAUAAUAAAGAACAUACCACAUUCUCACUCGAGGAAACUGCUCAACGGGUCUGGACUCAAUUUAUCUACUCAAUCAGCGAGCCAUACGUACGGUGAUGGCACAGACUUAUCACUUGUGAGCAACAAGAGGAGGAAAGACGAUGAUUG